AAAUUGAAGAGUUUGAUCAUGGCUCAGAUUGAACGCUGGCGGCAGGCCUAACACAUGCAAGUCGAACGGUAACAGGAAGAAGCUUGCUUCUUUGCUGACGAGUGGCGGACGGGUGAGUAAUGUCUGGGAAACUGCCUGAUGGAGAGGGAUAACUACUGGAAACGGUAGCUAAUACCGCAUAACGUCGCAAGACCAAAGAGGGGGACCUUCGGGCCUCUUGCCAUCAGAUGUGCCCAGAUGGGAUUAGCUAGUAGGUGGGGUAACGGCUCACCUAGGCGACGAUCCCUAGCUGGUCUGAGAGGAUGACCAGCCACACUGGAACUGAGACACGGUCCAGACUCCUACGGGAGGCAGCAGUGGGGAAUAUUGCACAAUGGGCGCAAGCCUGAUGCAGCCAUGCCGCGUGUAUGAAGAAGGCCUUCGGGUUGUAAAGUACUUUCAGCGGGGAGGAAGGGAGUAAAGUUAAUACCUUUGCUCAUUGACGUUA
rnacentral:rRNA from 1 species